CUGUAGAUGGCAAAGCUCCAUCACAAACACAGCCUGCCCUGAAUGCUCCACACAGUGAUUCAAAAGCAGCAGUGACUGCAGCGCCUCCUGCUGGCUGGCUCCCCAAACCACAGCCAAGAGAUACUGCCACAGCUAGGCAGUCGUGGGGCUCAGACAAGAGCAUUCAAAGGAAAAUCUCAAGCAGUAUUCCCCCUAUAAGGCCUUCAAAACCAGAUCUGUCAUAUUCCAGACCACGCUCAAAAUCAACCUCCGAAUCAAGUGGUGGCUACAGCUGUUUCCAUGUAGUGAAGCCUUACAAAGCUGGGUACUACAUCAUCCACCCCGAGUUUGUGUCAGAGUGGCAUCACUAAUACCAGGCCUGGAUUCACAGCCUUUUCACUGGACAACAGCAUGCUGUCUCUGAGUGCAGCUUAAGGGCGUUAUGUGUUUGUCUGAGAUCAGACACAGCAGUGCUGCUGGAGGUUUUAAACACCCCAGUCUAUCAACAAUGUCCUGUGGGCAUUGCCUUUUUGUCCUUCACGGUAGAGCAAGGUAGGUAGGAGUGAUUAAUAGAGCAGACAGUGAGUGAACAUUUAAACAGUGUUUAAAAACUCCAGCAGCACUGCUGUGUCUGGUAGGCACAGAAACACAGAAGGUGGUAUUAAUGUUGUACUUGAUUGGUGUAUAUAUAUAAAAAAACUGUACCUAACAUGUACCAACA